CAGCCGCCGCGGGAAUACGUAGGUCCCGAGCGUUGUCCGGAUUUAUUGGGCGUAAAGCGAGCGCAGGCGGUUUGAUAAGUCUGAAGUUAAAGGCUGUGGCUCAACCAUAGUUCGCUUUGGAAACUGUCAAACUUGAGUGCAGAAGGGGAGAGUGGAAUUCCAUGUGUAGCGGUGAAAUGCGUAGAUAUAUGGAGGAACACCGGUGGCGAAAGCGGCUCUCUGGCUUGUAACUGACGCUGAGGCUCGAAAGCGUGGGGAGCAAACAGGAUUAGAUACCCCCGUAGUCCCUGUCUCUUAUACC
rnacentral:rRNA from 1 species